UGAACCUGCGGAAGGAUCAUUAACGAAAUGAAUGUCGAAAAGGGUUGUAGCUGGCCUCUUGAGGUAUGUGCACACCUUUAUCGCGCAUCCACAUCUCACACCUGUGCACAACCUGUAGCUUGGGAUGAUUACAAUUCUGGAAACGGUAUUGAAAGCCCUUGCUAUGAAUUUUUAAACAACCGUAUUAAAAGUUAUAGAACGUUAUAGCGUGUAACAGCGCAAAUAAAUAUACAACUUUCAGCAACGGAUCUCUUGGCUCUCGCAUCGAUGAAGAACGCAGCGAAAUGCGAUAAGUAAUGUGAAUUGCAGAAUUCAGUGAAUCAUCGAAUCUUUGAACGCACCUUGCGCUCCUUGGUAUUCUGAGGAGCAUGCCUGUUUGAGUGUCAUGAAGCUCUCAACUGCUUUAGCUUUUUAUGGUUGAAGUGAAGUUGGAUUUGGAGGAAUGAUUAUUGCUGGCGUGACCUUUUCAGGUUGCUUGUUAGCUCCUCUUAAAUGGAUGAACUUUCCAGUAGUAAAAUAACACCAAUGUGAUAAUUAUCUACGUUGGAUGUGCUUUUUACAAGGAAAGAUGUAUAUCUGUCUUGAAGGCAAAAACACCUCUUGACGAAACAAAUGACAAAUUUGACCUCAAAUCAGGUAGGACUACCCGCUGAACUUAA
rnacentral:rRNA from 1 species